rnacentral:rRNA from 1 species
UGCGAAGGGUGCAAGCGUUACUCGGAAUUACUGGGCGUAAAGCGUGCGUAGGUGGUUCGUUAAGUCUGAUGUGAAAGCCCUGGGCUCAACCUGGGAAUUGCAUUGGAUACUGGCGAACUAGAGUACGGUAGAAGAUGGCGGAAUUCCCGGUGUAGCAGUGAAAUGCGUAGAGAUCGGGAGGAACAUCUGUGGCGAAGGCAGCCAUCUGGACCAGCACUGACACUGAGGCACGAAAGCGUAGGGAGCAAACAGG